CGAACGCUGGCGGCGUGCUUCACACAUGCAAGUCGAACGGAAAGGCCCUUCGGGGUACUCGAGUGGCGAACGGGUGAGUAACACGUGGGUGAUCUGCCCUGCACUUUGGGAUAAGCCUGGGAAACUGGGUCUAAUACCGAAUAUGAUCAUCGGCUUCAUGGUCGGUGGUGGAAAGCUUUUGCGGUGUGGGAUGGGCCCGCGGCCUAUCAGCUUGUUGGUGGGGUAAUGGCCUACCAAGGCGACGACGGGUAGCCGGCCUGAGAGGGUGACCGGCCACACUGGGACUGAGAUACGGCCCAGACUCCUACGGGAGGCAGCAGUGGGGAAUAUUGCACAAUGGGCGCAAGCCUGAUGCAGCGACGCCGCGUGAGGGAUGACGGCCUUCGGGUUGUAAACCUCUUUCAGCACAGACGAAGCGCAAGUGACGGUAUGUGCAGAAGAAGGACCGGCCAACUACGUG
rnacentral:rRNA from 1 species